AGUUAUAAGUAGGUGUCAUUUUCGUGAUAGCUAUAUUAGUUUUAAACUUUGUCACUAUAUUUUAGUUUCUAACGGAUAUAUAAUAAAAAUGAAUGAUUAUGAAAUUUUUUUUUCUAGUACAUGACUGGCUUUGGAUCUUACUUUUCGUCAGAAGAUAAAAGAUGCCCUGGCUCCCUACCGUCAAAUCAAAACUCUCCACAGAACUGUCCUUAUGGUUUAUAUGCGGAACAAAUAUCAGGAACAGCUUUUACAGCUCCCCGUAAAGAAAAUUUAAGAUCGUGGUUGUACAGAAUACGUCCUAGUGUAUUGCACGAGCCGUUUAAGCCUUUUAGCGGUAACACGGGAUUAAAUAACAAUUGGAAUGAACAACAUCCAAAUCCUAAUCAAAUGCGUUGGAAACCUUUUGAUAUACCGUUGAAUGACGUAAAUUUUGUCGAAGGUUUACACACGAUAUGUGGUUCAGGGAAUGUACAUAGCCAUCAUGGCAUUGCAAUACAUAUCUACAGCUGCACUACUUCCAUGGAGAAAAUCGCUUUUUAUAAUAGCGAUGGUGAUUUUUUGAUUGUGCCUCAGAAGGGAAGUUUGGAAGUAACUACUGAAUAUGGUAAAUUAGUUCUAAGGCCAAAUGAAAUAUGCGUCAUACCACAAGGUAUUCGCUAUUCAGUUAAAGUAAUGGAACCAUCAAGGGGAUACAUUCUUGAGGUUUAUAACAAUCACUUCCAACUCCCGGAACUAGGACCAAUAGGAGCAAAUGGAUUGGCUAAUUCGCGCGAUUUUCAAACUCCUGUUGCGUUGUUUGAAGAUAACGAUGAAGAUUUCCAGGUUAUCUGCAAGUACCAAGGACAGCUUUUUUCUGCUAAACAAUCUCAUUCACCAUUUGAUGUUGUAGCAUGGCAUGGAAAUUAUGUCCCUUUCAAGUAUGAUUUAUCAAAAUUUAUGGUCAUAAAUUCUGUCAGCUAUGACCAUUGCGAUCCAAGCAUCUUUACGGUUCUCACUUGCCCAAGCUUUAGCCCAGGCACUGCUAUUGCGGACUUUGUAAUAUUUCCACCAAGAUGGGCUGUACAAGAGCAUACUUUCCGGCCGCCAUAUUAUCACAGAAACUGCAUGUCAGAAUUUAUGGGGUUAAUUAUUGGUAAAUACGAAGCAAAGGAUAACGGUUUUUUGCCUGGAGGAGCUACUCUUCAUUCCAUUAUGACACCACAUGGUCCAGAUUAUCAAUGCUUCGAGAAUGCAUCUCGUGCAGAGUUAGCACCUGAAAGGGUUGCUGAAAACACACAGUUUCAGAUUGACCUGAUGUUUCGCAGUUUUGGAUUCGCUGGUGACAGAGUUGAAUAAAGUAGUAAAUUUUGGUCAGCUUUCAGGACUAUUAAACAAUUGUACCUUCUGUAAAGCGCUUGUACUACUUAUAAACACUUUUUUUAGACAAAGUGGACUCACCGAAUGCCGCAGACAAUAUUUCGAGUGCCUUGGAGUACUUUAUUCCAUUUCUAACGCUUUUAUGUUCGAAUCAUCGCUGAACCUAAGAAUAACAAAGUGGGCAGAAAAAACUUGUCAAAAAUUGGAUGAGCAGUAUUUUGAAUGCUGGAAAGGAUUGAAGAAAAAUUUUAAUAAUUAUUCUUGAUAUUUUUACGUUGGAAGUGAACUUUGAAUGAUAGAAACCACUGAACCAGAAUUAUGCUUUAAAUUUAAAAUUAAGUUAAAAAGGCUAAAUUUCAAAAUAAAAAAAUAGAUCUUAACUGACUAAUAUACGAUGUUAUGGCUUAA